rnacentral:piRNA from 1 species
UGGGCCUAACUCGGGCGGGUGGC